GUCCACGCCGUAAACGAUGAGUGCUAAGUGUUAGAGGGUUUCCGCCCUUUAGUGCUGAAGUUAACGCAUUAAGCACUCCGCCUGGGGAGUACGGCCGCAAGGCUGAAACUCAAAGGAAUUGACGGGGGGCCGCACAAGCGGUGGAGCAUGUGGUUUAAUUAGAAGCAACGCGAAGAACCUUACCAGGUCUUGACAUCCUGUGAAAACCGUAGAGAUAGGGCUUCUCCUUCGGGAGCAGAGUGACAGGUGGUGCAUGGUUGUCGUCAGCUCGUGUCGUGAGAUGUUGGGUUAAGUCCCGCAACGAGCGCAACCCUUGAUCUUAGUUGCCAUCAUUAAGUUGGGCACUGUAAGGUGACUGCCGGUGACAAACCGGAGGAAGGUGGGGAUGACGUCAAAUCAUCAUGCCCCUUAUGACCUGGGCUACACACGUGCUACAAUGGACGGUACAAAGUGCUGCAAGACCGCGAGGUGGAGCUAAUCUCAUAAAACCGUUCUCAGUUCGGAUUGUAGGCUGCAACU
rnacentral:rRNA from 1 species